UCGAUGUGGCCUCUGCUGUUUCUGUGGUCCACUUGAGCUGUGUGUAUUUUCUUAUCACGUGCCCCUUAGUUUCUGUUUUGUACUUGGAAUGUCUUCAUUGAAAUGUAUCCAAGGGGUACUGAAAAAGGAAGCCAUAACUGGGAGGCAUCCCCAUGUAGUGAGGUCAUCCCCAAGACGUCUGAGCUACUGGUAUUCCCAUCCCCCUCCUGUAAUUAGGGUUGAAGUGAUACCUGCACUUGAUAGUGAGCCUGUGAGGGCCGCCUUGAGCCAUUGUUGGAGCUUCUGUUUUUAUGGAAAUGUCUAUUUAACUCUCAGUCCGGUUUAUUCGAGACCCAGCUUGUGUGAUUUGCUUGACGCUUGUGUGAUUUGCUUGACUGCUGCAAGGCUGUGCGACCCUAGUGCCACCCCAUAGCUUUUGUGGUGGAGACGCUUGCCACCUCUUCGCAGGAAACUUGGCCAUUGUGUACGAUAAUCUCUCUGCUACAACAUUCUUGGGCACCACUUUCCUUCCCUUCUUUUCAAAGUAAAGUAAAAUAAAAUUCAGAAAAGUACACAAUAUAAUAACAUAUUUCCACCACCCCAAAUUAACAUUUGGCAGUUUCAAAUAAAUAUUGCUUACCUCCUGUGCUGCAGUGGUUCUCUUUCCUCAUGGAGACUGCAGACACAAUUUGAGCCUUACCUACUCCAAAGGUGUCUUUGGAGUUCCAGUGACACUCAGUGCCUCUGUGGCAUCACUCAUGCAGAACAUGGAAACUGCCUCUGCACAGCUCUAGCCUUCGCAGAAAGCGGGGAGCUUCUCCAGGCCCAGGACUUGCUCUUGCUUGUCUUUCCAUCCACAGGGUCUGGUGCAGGCCCACCCGUGGUAGGUGCUUAGGGAACGUGCAAGUUAGAGUGAAGCAAGCGGUGGAGGCCAGGGAGAGGCGUGUAUCCAGGGAUGUGGAAUGUGAGAGGAGAGAGUGCUGGGGAGCCUACCCCACAUCUGGUCUGACAAUUUGAGGGUUUGAAAGAAAAGCUGUGUUGCAAGAAAUGCUAACUGCUGGACAGGCAUCCCUGGCCCCUUCCUUCAAGCUGAUGUGACUGAACCCAUGUGGAAGGCUGGCCCACUGCGCACUCGGCUUGGGUGGCGGCUUGGGUGGUGGCGAGCAGCCUGCCUGCGGUCUCCGUCCCAGUGAGCAGGCACACUGGUGGCCCUCGGAGCAGACGAGCACUUUCUGCUGUCCUGCUUUACAGCCAGAGAGCAGAAAACUCUGUUCCCUUUAAAUUACAACGAAUGAUCAGCUCCCUUUCUAGCUCUGUUGAGGAAACAGCAUGUUAAACAUCCUAUUCUUCUAGUGUCUGCAUCGCUUUUGUGUGGCGAGCUCCGCAGUUUCACUUUCUAAAUGUCUGGGGUCACAGGCAGUCCUCUUGCUUAGGACUGGUGAAAGAGCAGGGGCCACUCAGCAGUUUAAAACUCUGCUUUAAAAUACGUUUGAAAAUCUAGGUGUCCUGGGACUUUCCUGGCGGUCCAGUGGUUAGGCCUCCACGCUUUCACUGCAGGCAGCACAGGUUCCAUCCCUGGUGGGAGAGCUAAGAUCCUGCAGUGUGGCCAUAGGUUUCCUGUAAAGAUGCAUAUGAAUUCAGUGUUAUGCUGCCCUGCUGAAGGAGACCGAUGCUCUUGGGGUGUCAGGGAAGAGCUUUAUGAAAUUUUCUUAAUUCUUCAGUUAUUGCAAUAAAAAGUGACUCAAGGUCCUGCUCAUCCACUUCUGAAAUACCCAGCCUCCAAGUGCAUGGCAGAUUCCCAAAGAUCGAGACCACAGUAGAUUCGGCUGGUGGUGACUGAGUGUGGGAAUAGCACUGAUCUCUGUGGGUGUUUAAUUAAAAUCCACACUUGAAGGAUGCCAGUGUGUGCUGGGGUGACACUCUGCACAUGUGUUGAUCUAAAGUGAACAGUGGUCCAGCUGGUGUGUUCUGAUCUGUCUGAUGUUUAACUUGUCAUUGGUGGUACCAGACCUUGGGACUGGAAAUCAUCAGCCUGGUGUAGAUUCCCAAGACUCUCGUGGGUUAGUGGGGGUGGUGCUCCCCAUGGUCUGAGCUGACACUUUCCAUUAGAAAUGUGAGCCACAUAAGGAAUUUUAAAUUUUCUAGUAGCCACACUUUAAAAAGUAAAAAGAUUCAGGAAAAAUUAAGUUUAAUAGAUAUUAUUCAACUUAAUAUGUACAAAACAUUAUUUCAACAUGUGAUCAAUGUAAAAGAUACAAUUAAAGAGAUAUUUUUGCCUUUU